rnacentral:rRNA from 1 species
AGCAGGGGGGAUUUUGCGCAUGCGCGAAAGCGUGACGCAGCCACGCCGCGUGAGGGAAGAAGGCCUUCGGGUUGUAAACCUCCUUCAGGAGGGACGAAGGUUCAGGCGCGAACAGCGACCUGGACUGACGGUACCUCCAGAAGAGGCCCCGGCUAACUACGUGCCAGCAGCCGCGGUAAUACGUAGGGGGCUAGCGUUGUCCGGAAUCAUUAGGCGUAAAGCGCGCGUAGGCGGCCCGGUAAGUCCGCUGUGAAAGUCAAAGGCUCAACCUUUGAAUGUCAGCGGAUACUGCCGGGCUAGAGUCCGGAAGAGGCGAGUGGAAUUCCUGGUGUAGCGGUGGAAUGCGCAGAUAUCAGGAGGAACACCAACGGCGAAGGCAGCUCGCUGGGACGGUACUGACGCUGAGGCGCGAAAGCGUGGGGAGCGAACAGGAUUAGAUACCCUGGUAGUCCACGCCGUAAACGAUGGGCACUAGGUGUGGGAGGUGUCGACUCCUCCCGUGCCGGCGCUAACGCAUUAAGUGCCCCGCCUGGGGAGUACGGCCGCAAGGCUAAAACUCAAAGGAAUUGACGGGGGCCCGCACAAGCAGCGGAGCAUGUGGUUUAAUUCGAUGCAACGCGAAGAACCUUACCUGGGCUUGACAUGUAACUGACAGCCGUGGAAACACGGUCUUCCUUCGGGACAGUUACGCAGGUGGUGCAUGGCUUC